rnacentral:rRNA from 1 species
ACUCCUGCGGGAGGCAGCAGUGGGGAAUUUUGGACAAUGGGCGAAAGCCUGAUCCAGCAAUGCCGCGUGAGUGAAGAAGGCCUUCGGGUUGUAAAGCUCUUUUGUCAGGGAAGAAACGGUGAAAGCUAAUAUCUUUUGCUAAUGACGGUACCUGAAGAAUAAGCACCGGCUAACUACGUGCCAGCAGCCGCGGUAAUACGUAGGGUGCAAGCGUUAAUCGGAAUUACUGGGCGUAAAGCGUGCGCAGGCGGUUUUGUAAGUCUGAUGUGAAAUCCCCGGGCUCAACCUGAGAAUUGCAUUGGAGACUGCAAGGCUAGAAUCUGGCAGAGGGGGGUAGAAUUCCACGUGUAGCAGUGAAAUGCGUAGAUAUGUGGAGGAACACCGAUGGCGAAGGCAGCCCCCUGGGUCAAGAUUGACGCUCAUGCACGAAAGCGUGGGGAGCAAACAGGAUUAGAUACCCUGGUAGUCCCAUG